AUACGGAGGGUGCAAGCGUUACUCGGAAUCACUGGGCGUAAAGCGCGCGCAGGCGGUUAUUUAAGUUGGAUGUGAAAGCCUACGGCUCAACCGUAGAACUGCAUCCAAAACUAUUUAGCUAGAGUGUGGGAGAGGAAGAUGGAAUUAGUUGUGUAGGGGUAAAAUCCGUAGAGAUAACUAGGAAUACCAAAAGCGAAGGCAAUCUUCUAGAACACUACUGACGCUGAGGCGCGAAAGCGUGGGGAGCAAACAGGAUUAGAAACCCCAGUAGUCC
rnacentral:rRNA from 1 species